AUGUCCAUUAUACAAAUCAUGAUCGACAACUAUCAUCAAAUAUUUGGAAAUUAUAAUAUAUUUUAUAAACGUAUUGACAGAAGAUCUGAGGAUUUAAAGACUUGUGCAGAUUCAAUAAACUCUUCUGGCAAAUCACCUAUUAUGAAAGAAUUCCUAGCUGGCCACAACAAGAAGACAUGCGAUAAUGCAUCAAGAGGACCUGAUGCCCCCAGAAGCCUGGAUUGCUGGAUAUGCAUGUUUCUGUGAUGUACACAUAUACUCACACAUUUAUAAAACUACUGGUAUAUGUUGUGCCCUUGGUUUUAUUCUCUGUGUAUUUGAACUUUAUAAUAAAAAUACUUUUCACUGUGU
rnacentral:lncRNA from 1 species